rnacentral:rRNA from 1 species
UACAGAGGGUGCAAGCGUUAAUCGGAAUUACUGGGCGUAAAGCGUGCGUAGACGGUUAUGUAAGUCAGAUGUGAAAGCCCCGGGCUCAACCUGGGAAUGGCAUUUGAGACUGCAUAGCUAGGAUGCGGAAGAGGGAAGUGGAAUUUCCGGUGUAGCGGUGAAAUGCGUAGAUAUCGGAAGGAACAUCAGUGGCGAAAGCGACUUCCUGGUCCAGCAUCGACGUUCAGGCACGAAAGCGUGGGGAGCAAACAGG